rnacentral:rRNA from 1 species
UACGUAGGGAGCGAGCGUUGUCCGGAUUUAUUGGGCGUAAAGAGCGCGUAGGCGGCUCGGUAAGCCGGAUGUGAAACCUCCAAGCUCAACUUGGAGCGGCCAUUCGGAACUGCCGUGGCUAGAGUCUGGUAGGGGAACACGGAAUUCCUGGUGUAGCGGUGAAAUGCUUAGAUAUCAGGAGGAACACCAGUGGCGAAGGCGGUGUUCUGGGCCAGUACUGACGCUGAGGCGCGAAAGCGUGGGGA